rnacentral:rRNA from 1 species
GACGAACGCUGGCGGCGUGCUUAACACAUGCAAGUCGAACGGAAAGGCCCUGCUUUUGUGGGGUGCUCGAGUGGCGAACGGGUGAGUAACACGUGAGUAACCUGCCCUUGACUUUGGGAUAACUUCAGGAAACUGGGGCUAAUACCGGAUAGGAGCUCCUGCUGCAUGGUGGGGGUUGGAAAGUUUCGGCGGUUGGGGAUGGACUCGCGGCUUAUCAGCUUGUUGGUGGGGUAGUGGCUUACCAAGGCUUUGACGGGUAGCCGGCCUGAGAGGGUGACCGGCCACAUUGGGAAGGAGAGAAGGCCCAGAGUACGACGGGAGGCAGCAGUGGGGAAGAGUGCAAAAUGGGCGGAAGCCGGAGGCAGCAACGCCGCGUGCGGGAGGACGGCCUGCGGGUUGGAAACCGCAGGCGCCUGUGACGAAGCGUGAGUGACGGUAAGGGGUAAAGAAGCACCGGCUAACUACGUG